CCUACGGGCGGCUGCAGUGGGGAAUUUUGGACAAUGGGGGCAACCCUGAUCCAGCCAUGCCGCGUGCGGGAAGAAGGCCUUCGGGUUGUAAACCGCUUUUGUCAGGGAAGAAAUCUUCCGAGCUAAUACCUUGGGAGGUUGACGGUACCUGAAGAAUAAGCACCGGCUAACUACGUGCCAGCAGCCGCGGUAAUACGUAGGGUGCAAGCGUUGCUCGGAAUUAGUGCGGGCAAAGCGGGAGCAGGCGGUUGAAAGCCCCGGGCUUAACCUGGGAGCUGCACUUGUGACUGUACGGCUGGAGUACGGCAGAGGGGGAUGGAAUUCCGCGUGUAGCAGUGAAAUGCGUAGAUAUGCGGAGGAACACCGAUGGCGAAGGCAGUCCCCUGGGCCUGUACUGACGCUCAUGCACGAAAGCGUGGGGAGCAAACAGGAUUAGAUACCCCGGUAGUC
rnacentral:rRNA from 1 species